UCUUUGCUUUCCUACUGGGCCACAUCCUGGCCAUGGAGGUGCUGGCCUGGCUCCUCAUCUACCUCCUGGGUCCUGGCUGGGUGCCCAGUGCCCUGGCUGCCUUCAUCCUGGCCAUCUCUCAGGCUCAGUCCUGGUGUCUGCAGCAUGACCUGGGCCAUGCCUCCAUCUUCAAGAAGUCCCGGUGGAACCACGUGGCCCAGAAGUUCGUGAUGGGGCAGCUAAAGGGCUUCUCCGCCCACUGGUGGAACUUCCGCCACUUCCAGCACCACGCCAAGCCCAACAUCUUCCACAAAGACCCAGACGUGACGGUGGCGCCCGUCUUCCUCCUGGGGGAGUCAUCCGUCGAGUAUGGCAAGAAGAAACGCAGAUACCUACCCUACAACCAGCAGCACCUGUACUUCUUCCUGAUCGGCCCACCGCUGCUCACCCUGGUGAACUUCGAAGUGGAAAAUCUGGCGUACAUGCUGGUGUGCAUGCAGUGGGCGGUGAGUGGGGUUGCCCAGGACCCCGGGCAUACGGCUGCCGUGGCAGGAGGUGGUACCUCGGGGGA
rnacentral:sRNA from 1 species